AGCCGCCGGUACUUGGAGCGGCGGAGGCGACGGUGGUGGUAGUGCGACUGUCAGUGGUCUGGGCAGGGAAGGCAGAGUGGCAGCGUUCAGACCCUCUUAAGGCAGUGCUAGAAGACGUUAAAGGGUCACACUGCUCCCGAAAAUGUCACUUCAAACGCUGAGAGGACAAAACUUUUCAUAUAUUCUGUAGGCUUCGUUUGUUUCCCAGAGAAGGGUGUGCUGAGGAACCCCCCAACGCAAGGCGUGGAGGCAGCCGUCCACCUCGACUCAGCUUUUGGACAGACGCGGCCUCACAGCCCCGGCCUGGGCUUGAGGUGUGUCCAGCCUAGCUAGAGAAGGCUCCUCGGAAACUUCAGUCGACUCUGGAGAGGGCGGGAGAGAUGCCCAGCCCCUUAAAGGAGAAUACACACAAUUUUGGAAAAGUGGAGAGGAAGUGGAGGAGCCUAAGAAAGACAGCAUGAAACAUAUCUCAUGUGAAGGGUGCAGUGGAAAAGUAGAGAGAAAUUGAAAUAUCUGCAGGAUACAGACACAGGUAGAGACUCAGGAGUGGACCGGGGCUCAUCUCCAGCUGAGGCUGUCGGGGACUCAGGCUGGGCCAGGGGAGCCUGGAAGAGACAAGAAUGUGGCUGAAUGAUAUAGGAUGGAUAAACAAUAAGGUCCCACUGUAUAGCACAGGGAACUAUAUUCAAUAUUCUGUGAUAAACCAUAAUGGAAAAGAAUAUUAAAAAAGAAUGUCUAUAUGUUUAUAACUGAGUCACUUUGCUGUACAGCAGAGAUUGGCACAACAUUGUAAAUUAACUAUAA